GACGAACGCUGGCGGCGCGCUUAACACAUGCAAGUCGAGCGAUGAAAUUUCGACAGAUCCCUUCGGGGUGAAGAUGAAAUGGAUUAGCGGCGGACGGGUGAGUAACACGUGAGUAACCUGCCUUUGACAUUGGGAUAGCCUCGGGAAACUGGGAUUAAUACCAAAUGACACUAACUGAUCACAUGAUCAAUUAGUCAAAGAAAUUCGGUCAAAGAUGGACUCGCGGCUGAUUAGCUAGUUGGUGAGGUAACGGCCCACCAAGGCGACGAUCAGUAGCCGGCCUGAGAGGGUGAUCGGCCACAUUGGAACUGGGACACGGUCCAAACUCCUACGGGAGGCAGCAGUGGGGAAUAUUGCACAAUGGGGGAAACCCUGAUGCAGCGACGCCGCGUGAGCGAAGAAGGCCUUCGGGUCGUAAAGCUCUUUUAUGAGGGAAGAUAAUGACGGUACCUCAAGAAAAAGCCCCGGCUAACUACGUG
rnacentral:rRNA from 1 species